UGCUGCCCCAUGGUUUGGAGGUGCCUGGGAAGCGUUAGUAAAGUCUGUCAAACGGGCAUUGAAAGUUAUGUUUGGGAAUGUUCUCACAGUCGAUGAAGUUUUCCUUACUGUCAUUGCCGAAGUAGAAGCGAUGCUGAACUCUCGUCCGCUUGUCUAUGGUGGAAGCAGUGAUUCACCAACAGAUCUCAGCGUGAUUAUACCAAACCACUUCUUGCAUGGCCGUGCGAGUUCGAACGUGUCGCGCGGCGAGUUUAACCAACGAGAUAUGUCGUUACGUCGAAGAUGGCGUCAUAGCCAAUUCUUAGCGAACCAAUUCUGGCGCCGAUGGUCGAAUGAGUACAUUCCGCAGUUAAUAAAGCGAAGCAAAUGGAAUGUUGCACACAGAAAUCUACGUCGCGGUGAUCUUGUCUUGAUCGUUGAGAAGGACGUACCUCGUUCGCAUUGGAGGCUCGGAAGAGUGAUUGCACCGAUCGCAAGUGAAGACGGACUGAUCAGAUCCGCGGAGAUUGCAACGAAAACUGGAACAUUGACACGUCCUGUAGGACGGUUAGCAUUACUGAAAGCUUUUAUUGAUGAGUAACGUUCCCCCCGUUCACGUCACGGGCGGGGGUGUUUUGGACUUUGUCCAGUUUAUUAUAUAGUUCAUGUUAAUUUAUUAUGGUAAUAGACUUUUGUCCAGUAACAUUGAAAAUAGAGAGGUCAGAGGA